GGAGAAGUGGCAGAUUAGAUAAUGCGUUUGACUUGAAAUUAAUUGAUAAAGGUUAGAAUCCUUUCUUCUCUU
rnacentral:tRNA from 1 species